rnacentral:rRNA from 1 species
ACGGAGGGUGCAAGCGUUAUUCGGAAUUACUGGGCGUAAAGCGCGCGUAGGCAGUCCUGCAAGUCUGAUGUGAAAGCCCCGGGCUUAACCCGGGAAGUGCAUUGGAAACUGUGGGACUUGAGUACUGGAGAGGAUGAGGGAAUUCCCGGUGUAGAGGUGAAAUUCGUAGAGAUCGGGAGGAAUAUCAGUGGCGAAGGCGCCCAUCUGGACGAUAACUGACGCUGAUACGCGAAAGCGGUUGGAGCGAACAG